UACGUAGGGAGCAAGCGUUGUCCGUAAUUAUUGGGCGUAAAGCGCGCGUAGGCGGCCUUGUAAGUCCGUUGUGAAAGCCAAAGGCUCAACCUUUGAAAGCCGAUGGAUACUGUGAGGCUAGAGUCCGGAAGAGGCGAGUGGAAUUCCUGGUGUAGCGGUGGAAUGCGCAGAUAUCAGGAGGAACACCAAUAGCGAAGGCAGCUCGCUGGGACGGUACUGACGCUAAGGCGCGAAAGCGUGGGGAGCGAACAGG
rnacentral:rRNA from 1 species